rnacentral:rRNA from 1 species
GAUGAACGCUGGCGGCGUGCCUAAUACAUGCAAGUCGAGCGAACGGACGAGAAGCUUGCUUCUCUGAUGUUAGCGGCGGACGGGUGAGUAACACGUGGAUAACCUACCUAUAAGACUGGGAUAACUUCGGGAAACCGUAGCUAAUACCGGAUAAUAUUUUGAACCGCAUGGUUCAAAAGUGAAAGACGGUCUUGCUGUCACUUAUAGAUGGAUCCGCGCUGCAUUAGCUAGUUGGUAAGGUAACGGCUUACCAAGGCAACGAUGCAUAGCCGACCUGAGAGGGUUAGCGGCCACCCGGGAACUGGGCCGCGGCCCAGACUCCGACGGGAGGCAGCAGUAGGGAAUUUUCCGAAAGGGGCGAAAGCCUGACGGAGCAACGCCGCGUGAGUGAUGAAGGUUUUCGGAUCGAAAACCUCUUUUAUUGGGGAAAAACAUUUGUGUAAGUAACUUUGCAAAUCUUGACGGUCCCUAAUCAAAAACCCCCGGCGACCUCCG